GCCAGACGUUUAAGCCCUUCCACGAGCUUGGGAAGAUCAGAUGCCACCUUGCACUGAACAGCCACACGCACAACGGGAGAUACAGAAAAUUUCAUGGCUCGAAUUGGAUGAGCAUCAACUUCCUUCUCGUUUGUCAGAGUAGCAUUCUUUGUGAUGAAUUGAUCCAAUCCAACCAUGGCAACGGUGUUACCACAAGGCACAUCCUCCACAGUUUCUUGCUUCUUUCCCAUCCAA
rnacentral:misc_RNA from 1 species